GCCCUGUGGUUCCUAGAGUCGGCUCCAAAGUGCCGAACUGUAGGUUUGAAUGAAAGGGCGCAUAGAAACUUCUGCGAUUUUAUGCAUGGAACCUGCAGCUAUAGCAGCGCUCCAUAGCCCGGUUGCAGAUACACUU
rnacentral:snoRNA from 1 species